rnacentral:lncRNA from 1 species
AACAUUACGUUUCCAGAUAUCAGAUACCUAAUCACGAACUGUCACAUCCAAAAUAGCAAAACCAGAAACAGAGAACCAAAGAUACCACAACCAGAAACCAUAAGCAGAACCAGAACCAGAGAACAGUCACAAUCUCAAAUCCUAAUCUAAUUACCAACCACCACCACCUCCGCCGCUUCCUCCAUAACCACCACCUUCACCACCUCCGUAUCCACCACCCUCGCGUCUGCCACCACCGUAGCUUCCGCCGCCACCACCUCCUCUUGAGGAGUAUCCACCUCCACCACCAGAGUAACCACCCUCGCGUCUUCCGCCGCCACCUCCGUAUCCACCGCCACCACCUCCGUAGCCACCGCCGCCGCUGCGGUAUCCACCGCCACCACCACCACGGCCGCCUCCGCCACCGCUUCCACGUGACUGAGCCUCGUUCACAGUGAUGCUGCGACCAUCGAGCUCCUGUCCGUUCAUUCCCUCAAUGGCGUCUUUCAUGGAUUUCUCAUCCUUGAAAGUGACGAAUCCGAAUCCCCUCGAUCUUCCAGUCUCACGAUCGUUAAUGAUCUGGAAACAUAAAAACGAAACAGAUCAGCCAAAUAAUCCAACACAGACGGACACACAAAUCGAGCCAAAAAAUUUCAAAAAGAAAACGAUCGAUCUCCGGGCUCAUAAAAGCAGGAAGAUGAACGUACCGAUUGGGAAAAACAAGUAACAGAGUAACAAAGAACGAGAGAGAGAGCAUGCAUAGUAACAGUAAUUCGAAUCAAGUAACAGAGAAACACAGAUCGGAACAGAUCCGUCGAGGAUCAGAAUCAUCGGAAUCCCGGAGAGUCCGAUCUCUGCGUGUAACGGACCUUGGAAUCAAUAACGUCGCCGUACUGAGAGAAGGCAGUCUCGAGAGCUCUGUCAUCAGUGGCCCAAGCUAGGCCUCCAACGAAGCACCGGAACUCGACAUCUGCGGACGCCAUUGAAUGAGAGAAAUGAUAGAGAAGAUCUAAAAAAAGAGAAGUGGAGAGAUCUGAGUGAUGAGUGAGGGAGACGAAGAAUCUCUUUAUAAUGGGGCUGAGAUAUUUAACCAAGGUUAGAUAUUUUCUAGGGUUAGAGUCGGUUUUUAAUGAAAUUUGGUUUAACUAUGGUUAAGCGUGUGGUUUAAAAUGGUGGUGGUUGGAGACACCUCACGUGACACUUUUUUGGAUUAAUGCGCAAAUGGAAAGACGAUGCAGGAAAAGAUAUUUUUUCUUUCCGCUUGUUCCAAGAAAAAUAUCUAGUCAGGUAGAAAUAUCUGCUAAAUGAAAUGACAAGUUUACCCCGUAAGUCUCAUCUCGUAUUCAGAUCACUGAGCCGACUGACACUGGGCCGGAAAUUUAUUUUUGGACAUAAGAGAAAAACCUAAUUGGGUCAGAAUCUUAGCCCAGAAUUAAUAUUAGGCCGAAAAUAAACUCAAAAUAUAUAUAUUUGAAAAAAACAAUUGUUGACAGUGGGUUUGAACCCACGCCCUUUCGGACAGGAACCUUAAUCCUGCGCCUUAGACCAACUCGGCCAUAUCAACUUUGAUGUUUUGUUAUAGUAAAUCUUCUUUUUUUUUUAAUUUCCCCUUAUUGUUGAACCUGAGACAUUAUUCCCCUUUAAUUCUUCUGAAGAAUCUGAAGAAUCAAAACUCGAAAGUCUUUCCCAAACCAAGCUUCUGAAAGUUCAUUCCCUUAAUGUGAUAUAUGUCUUCUUGGGUACAAUAAUCAAAAGGAACACUUUGAUUUUAAUAUCAAACGAAAAUAGAGCAUGCUAUGAUUAAGAAGCAAGUCUUCAGAGGUGCAUGCAUUGACCCAAAAUUUAGAUUUGAAUCCCAUUAUUAUUUUCAAUCUAGUAAAACUAACUUCUGAAUUUGUUUGGCUCAUGCAAAAAUCUAUCAUAUUUCUAAUAUUCACAUGGAAGACUAGGGUUUUAACUAUUAAGUAUCGAUUAUCUUCUAAAUUAUCAGUCUCGAAUUAAUAAAAUUCCUCUUCAUUCCUUAAAAAUAUAUCAUUUAUAUGGAAUUUAUUUAUAUACAUUCCUUUUGUUCCUCAUAAAAUACACUAUUUAUAAAAAAAAAAUUUUUUACACACUAUUCCUUAUCAUUUUUUUAUUUUUAGGAAAUUAUAGAACAAAAAUAUUCAUAACCAAAUUUAACAAAAAACAAUAAGAUAUUAUGUAUCUUCAUUCCCUUCCUAUUCAUUCCUAUUAUGUUUUUAUAAUUGCCAAUUAAAGUCUAAAGUAUUAACUAUUUAAGUAUCGAUUAUCUUCUAAACUACCAGUCCGAACUAUAAAAUUAUUUCACUCAUAGAGACAUGUUUGAAACAAUUUAUAUAUUACACUAUUGUACUUACAUAAACAUGGAUCUACAUGUUUGAUUCUCUUAUUAAAAAAACAUGGUAUUUCUCCCUCAGAUUGGAGUUUUGUCGGGAUAAUGUCAUCUUCUUUAGGUGGUUUGCCUUCUUUAACAUGUAAAUCGCCGCUUCUUUCUCUGCUUCUGUUCCUUGGUACCCAAUCCACUCAACUGUUUCGAGACCCGACACAAAACAUUCAGGAACACAACACGGUUGCUCCCACUGAGCUUCGAAAUCUCUGAACAUGCCGCAGUUUAACUGAACAUACCAACAAAAAAAAACGGCAUGUGACCUUUACAUGUUGGAAUCGGUAAUUGUUUAUAAAGAAGUUGGAAUUACCGGCCUAAAGAUUUGUUACAAGGGAUAAUCAAGAUCGUUAUUCGUUACAGUUCUUAUAAAUAGCUGUGUUCAAAUUGUAAUGUCACACGGCUUGCUUUCUCUAUCACAGGCCAGGAGUCAAGACUUUGGAUUGUAAUAGACGUACCUGACUUGUAUAUUGAGAAGAUUGUACUACAUUGAUAAUAAUUUGGUAUAUAUAGACUAUCCCCAUGAAGAUGGUCGAGCAAAACGAAUUGGCUUACUUUAACUGGUUGUUAUGAUCUCAUGGAUAGCCAUUACAAAGACCAAGAAGCUUUAGACAAUUAUUCUACAAAACGUUUUAUUUAUAUCGAAGUCCUCUUCUCAAACUGUUUAAAAAGCCUGGGGAACGGGCAAGACACUUCAGAAGUACAGGGUCCUGCCUGGAGGAGCCUCUUCCACAGUCAAGAAUCGAGAACCACGAUUAUUUCUGUGAGACUCUUCCACAUGGAUGUAUUUACCAUCAAUCUCAAUGCCUUCCAUCAUCAAAACAGCAUAUCUCAUCGAUUCCUCCUCUUUAAAAGUAACAAAACCAUGUCGUAUCGAUUUUCCUGUCCCAGGACGGCAAAUGAUCUACGAAUACAUAGAAAAUCAUGAAAAAACAAUCAAAGCCGACACUUAAUCGUGAAUUGUCAGAUAUCAAAAUGAUUAAUAUACAGAAACAACAACAAAAAAAAAGUAAACAAAUAUACAGUAACCAAAUCCUAAUUAAAGUAGACCUCGCAAUCUGUAACAUCGCCAAACAUGCAAAAUGCUCUUGCAAGACGAGUUGCAUCAGUAUCGCGGUUCAGAUUAUGAACAAAGCAAACAAACCCUUUCGGACCGUGUAAUGGCAUCUCUCAUCGAUUUCUCGUCCUCAAAAGUAACAAAACCAAAUCUUCUCGAUGUUCCAUUCAUAAACGUGAUCUUUUGGAAACAAAUUAAGAUAAACGGUACAGAUCAGUAAAAAGAGUAUCUGACAAAAUGUUCAUGCACAAACGUAAAAUAAUAACUAAAUGUUCAAGGCGUGACUGACUUCAGAUUUGAUAACGUUGCCAAACUUUGAAAAGACUCUCUUCAGAUCAUUUGCAUCCGUUUCUCUGUCCACCGAGAACUAAGCACCUGAACUCAGAAUCUGCUGAAGCCAUUUGAAAAAAAAAAAACGACUAAUCAGGGUUUCUAUGUAGAAUAAGGAGAAACUUGUAAAAAAAUGUUGUGAGAAGUUGAAUUCAAUUUAUAGAAAAGGGGAGAGGAUUAGGGUUUUGGAUUUUUUUUUAAUAUGUUAAUUACGAUUUAAUCUUUAAAUUUGACCCCAAAAAAAAUGAAUUACAGUUACGGUGAGUUUUAUGAUAGAGGAGAGGAAACUGUUUAGCAAAUCGUGGAAUCGUGGAUUUUGAUGAGAUAAUAUAGGAUUUUUAAAAUGAUAGUUUUUGGUUUUUAACGUUUAAAUUAUUUUUUUACUCAACCACAUGUCACCAUGUCAUUGGUGAAGUGACUCGUGAUUAUGUAUAAUAAAGAUAUUAGAUUUUAACCCCGUGCGUCCGCACGAGAAUGUUUGAUUUUUUAUUUCUAAUAUAAGUUGCAUUUAUCAUUUUUGUUUAGAUAUAAUUUAUUUUUGUUAUUUAUUUUUUUUAAUCAAAAAAUUGUUAUUAUAUUUUAAUUUUAAACAGUAAAAUUUGUAUAUUAGUAGAAUAAGAGUAUAUGUUAAUUAAGUAUACAUUGAUCUAAUGUUAAUUAUAAACUUUGUUAUUAUGUAAAUUUAGAUUUACACAUAAACAAUCUAUAUAUCUAUGAAUUUGUUAAUCCAUCCGUUUAGUUGUCUUAAAUCAUUUUUAAUAACUUACAUGUUUUGACAAACUAACCCGUAUAAGACUAUAAUUAUAAUUGUAUAACCCUAUAAAUAUUUACUAAUAUGGAAUAUUUGGACCAAUUGAUUAUGAAAAUAUAUAAAAAGAUAUUUAUUUACUAUUUGUGCUAUUAAAAAAAAAAAAUAUAUAUAUUAACCUGUUAGUUUAAUUGUCUCAAAUCAUCUUAAUAUCUUACAUGUUUUAAUAAAUUAACUCAUGAACCUUAAAUAUAUAUAUAUAUAUAUAUAUAACUCUAAUAAGCUCGAUCAUAUUAUUGUAUAAUAGAAAUAUUUAUUAAUCUCAAAUAUUUAAUAUUUUAGAUUGAUUGUUUAUGAUAAAAUACGAUAAAAUAUUUAUUUACUAUGCAUUUUUAUAAAAAUAUUAUUUAAAUUUAAAUUUUAAAAUUAAAUCUUUUCUGUUUUUAAGAAAUUAUAAAGUACUAAAAUUACUAUCUAAAUUUUGUAAUAAAAUUUAAUUAUAUUUUUUUGAAUUUUUUGAAUUUAAAUUAAAUUGAACGCAAAUUUUUGUAACUAAAUUUAAUUAAAUUGAAAUUUAAAUUAAAGAUGACCUAGAUUUUAGAAAAUCUAAAAAUAUCUAAACUAAUAACUAAUUUUCGGAAAUUAAAUAUAAAAAUAAAAUAAAAUAUUAUAAAAAAAACUUUGGAAGUGUUUGGAUGCAAGUACUAAAUGUGCUUCUGUUUUAAUAGAAUAGAUAGAUGCAUGGACAAUCUUUUUUCUUAAAGCUCUCUAUGUGUUAUACAUAAUUUCCUUGGUAUCUCAGAUGAUCAAGAUCUAACAAUUCGUACUACGAUAGAAGAAAAUGAUCCCAUAUCUCUUAGCCGUUUCAUUUUUAUUGUGCGUGAUAUCCCCACUCUUUACAGUAUCAAAUUAACAAAAAGUUACUAUAAAAGACUAGUUUGCAACUUGUACCGUACAAGUUGUACGUCACGUUUAGAGACGUUUGACUCAAUUUCAUAGCUUUCUCGAUUGCUGUGAACUUCUUAAUGUUAACUUGUGAACCAGAAUCAGGUUAUUGAACCUAAACCAAGAUUUAUAUGAACCCGUAAUUGUUAAUAUAGAAGUUGGAAUCGGUCUAAAGUUUUGUUACAGGGAAUAAUUAAUGAAGAGAUCGUUAUUCGUUAACAAUUCUUAUAAUUAAAUAGCGUUGUCACAUCACAUAAAUAAUCUUCUAAUAAAUAAUUAAUACUUGAUUCAAAGCACCACGUCCCAAACAAUCACAUAGUGAUAUAUUAUAAAGGGGAGCCUAGAAGCUUAUUAUAUAAUUCUAUUAUAUAUAUAUAUCUUAUGAAACAUUGUCAAAUAUAUAUAUAUAUAUCUUAUGAAACUUGGGUUCAUGCCUUCUUCUUCUUUGGACCAACACCGUGACGACGACAACUUUUGCGAGACGAGUAAGCCUGUUCCACAGUUAUGGUUGUGUAUGGCGGGGCGAGCUUAUGAGUACCGUUCAUUCCGUUAAUAGCAUCCCUCAUGGAUUUCUCGUCUUUGAAAGUAACAAAUCCAUAUGCCAUUGAAUGAUCUUCAUCAUACUCAGAUGGAUAAACGACCUAUGAAACAAUGACUAACAUAAUUCAGAAUAAUUGUUAUAAAAAAAAAAAUCAAUACGUCGCCUAACUGGAUUUAUUAAUGAAAAAAAAAUGAAAAAACCAACAUAAGUUCCUAUAACGUCGCCAAACCGAGAAAACGCAUUCUUGCGAACAUAGCACUUGUAUUCAACAUCUUCGGACGCCAUUUUUGAAAGAUGCAGAUUGAUGAGGACAAUUUAUAUAAAAGAUUAUUUAUGUGGUUAUAAAUGCUAUCGAAUCUAAAAACUUUUAGAAACAAGCGUCUUUUUUCUUUCUUUGAAACUAGUUUUCCCUAGUUCCCAAACUUUCUAGAUAUUUUAUCUAAAUCUCAGUGUUUUUUUUUUUUCUGGUACAACUAAAAUGUGAAAACCAUUACUAGUAAAUUGAUUUUAUUGGAAAGUAGGAGUAUAUGUUUCCAAUAAAAGUCAAUUUGUUUUCUUGCUUAAGCUGUUAGUUUCAGUUUAUACUCCCUCCAUUUCACAAAGAGUGUCAUUUUGACACUUUAUGUUUGUUUCAAAAAGAAUGUCGUUUUAGAAUUUCAAUGUAAUUUUUAACAUAAAAUAUCAUUUUUAACCUCAAUAAAUUCAGAAAAUUAAUUAUAAAUAUGAUUCCAAAAGUCAUUUUCUACAAAUUAAUAAGGGUAUAAAAGACUUUUUAUCUUAUUUCUUAAUUUGUGUGAAGAUUGUCAGAACGACACUCUUUGUGAAACGGAGGGAGUACUAUUUUUUACCUACCACAACAAUUCAAUAAUAUCACUCAAAAUUUCUCAGUGAUUUGCUUAUGAAAUGCACUAUUGAAUGAUGAUGAAUACAAAAUUCUAACGAAACUCUUGUUGAAAUGCAUCUUUACAUUAUAAAGGUGCACUAAGCUACUAACGAAACUCUUGUCUCACUAUUGCUACUUUUUUCUGUUAAUUUGCAUUUGGAUAUAUAAUUCCUCUGGACAUCUGCAAGUGAGCACAGUUAGAUAAACACAAAACGCUAAUGUGCUUCUACUAUAUUUAAAUCUUGGUUUAGAGAUGAGUAGUUACUCUGGGAGCGAAACAAACCGGUUUAGUUAUAACCUGCGGUUGUCAUUAGGCUUGAAUUUUUCAGGAAUUGGGACGGGAAUUGACAGGUAAAGGAUGGGAAUUGAAAUUUUGGGAAUCUGAAUAUAUUACCCAAAAUAUUCCCACAAAAUAACGAGAGGGAAAUUUACGGGUAUGGGAUGGAAACGGGAAAUUCGAAAAUCAAAACACACUAUCCAUACAAUCCCAAAAUAAAAUAUAAUCAGGAAAAGGACGGGAAAGGAACAGGAAAGGGACGGGAAAAAUUUCGGAUAAUUCGGAUAAUUAAACUAAAAUCAAUUUUGUUUUUUUUUUUUAAAUUAUUAUUUGUUAAUAAAUUGGAAAAAUCAUUAUUUAUUAUAAAAAAAAUUUCAGUUAACCAAAAUCUCUAAAAUUUCACUUUAUAUAAUUACCCAACGGGAAGUUCGGGUAAUCCCAUUCCCGUCCCUACCCUUUUCCUUACCCAUUCAAAUAUUAUUUUCAAACCCAAAUGGGAAAUUACAAUUUCCCUUUUUCGAAAAGUUUGGGAAUUUCGGGACGGAUACGUUUCGGGACGGGUUACCCUUCCCGAAAAAUUCAGGCUUAGUUGUGACCUUGUGCGUAAUAUAGAUACUCACUUUUUACAGUAUCAAAUUAACAAAAAUUAUACUAAAAGCCUAGUUUGCAACUAAUAUCGACUUUGGCUCAAGAACAGGAUUUAAUAAAACUCUCUUUUAUUAAAUUUUAGGAAACUCUCUCAAAACCUAAAGAUCCAAAACACAAAACUCAUAAGUUAUUAACGACGACCCUACGACUGCGGAAAAUCAGUCGCCAAAAUGUCGCUAAAUAGUGAUUGCGAAUGUCGUCACUUCUUAGUCGCUAUCUAACGACGGAUUAGCGACUAAUAUGUAGUCACGAUUAAUCAGUCGCUAAAACGUCGAUAAAGUUGCAACUAAUUUGCGACAUAUGCGGCGAGUCGGUAUUAUUUAACACGUGUAAUACGUUUUAGGGUGGUUGUACCGGUUUUUCGCGACGAACCGUUGGCAGUCGCAAUAUAGUGACAAAACAGUCGCAUAUUAGUCGCAAAAUUUUCUAUAUAUUGAGAUCCCAUCUACGUUCCACUUCAUUAGUAUGCUUGCUAUCAUUUUGGUAGUUACUUUAUAAAAUUCCUUUAGCUGUAAGAAAUAUUUCUUACAAAAAAGGUGAAAAAAGAGUUAAGAAAAAAAAAACUCUUAUAAUAGAAAGAGAGUUAUAAUUUUAAUUAUAAUAAUUUUAGAGCUUGGAUGUAUAACCGAAUCGAUGAAAAGACGGGUAAUUUUUCGAAUGCGUUUAUAGAAGGAGUGGAGCAAUUCAUGAAUUUUGCAAAUAAUCAGACUAUAACACAAAGCAAUUGUGGUAAAUUUUUCUGCCCUUGUAGUGUAUGCAAUAAAACAAGUUUUUGUUGGGGAGUAAGAUUUGGAAUCAUCUAUACAGUAAAGGGUUCAUGCCAGAUUAUUAUGUUUGGUAUAAGCAUAGGGAAGAAAUAACUAUGGAUUAUGGAACUAGUUAUAAUAACAGUCAUCUAAGUGGGAGUGAAGAAAAAAUGGAUAAUAUAGCUGAAGAUAGAUAUGUGGAUAUGGUGAAUGAUGCAUUUUGUGAUAAUUUUCGUCAAGAUGAUAGCUAUUGUCUAGAUGAGAGUAAUGAAAAUGUAGAAGAACCUGUACGUAAUCAUCCCAAAAAUUUUUACGACUUGUUAGAAGCUGGGAAAAAACCAUUAUACGAUGGUUGUCAUGAAGGGCAUUCACAGUUAUCUUUAGCUGCUCGGUUCAUGCAAAAUAAGAUAGAUUAUAAUAUGAGUGAAAAAUGUAUGGAUUCAUGGGCCGCAUUGUUUACUGAGUAUUUACCAGAUGGAAAUCAAGCAACCAGUUCUCAUUACGAGACAGAGAAAUUGAUGGGAAACCUAGGCCUUCCUUUUCAUAAAAUUGAUGUUUGUAUCAACAAUUGUAUGAUCUUCUGGAAAGAGGACGAACAUUGGGAGAACUGUAAAUUUUGUCAAGCACCAAGAUAUAAGCAAGUCAAGGAAGGACGGCGAUCAAGAACCAGAAUACCAUAUAGUCGUAUGUGGUAUCUACCUAUAGCUGAUAGAUUAAAGAGAAUGUAUCAGAGCGAGAAGACAGCAGCGGCUAUGAGAUGGCAUGCUGAACACCAAGCCAAGGAUGGAGAAAUGUCACAUCCCUCUGAUGCUGCUGAGUGGAAAUAUUUUCAAGAUCUACAUCCUCAGUUUGCUGAAGAACCCCGAAAUGUUUAUCUUGGAUUAUGUACAGAUGGGUUUAAUCCAUUUGGCAUGUCUCGUAAUCAUUCUUUAUGGCCUGUGAUUUUGACCCCAUAUAAUUUACCUCCUGGUAUGUGCAUGAGGACAGAGUAUUUGUUCCUGACGAUAUUGAAUUCAGGGCCAAAUCAUCCACGAGCCAGUCUUGAUAUAUUCCUCCGACCUCUUAUUGAUGAGUUAAAAGAUCUAUGGUCUACUGGAGUGAAUGCAUAUGAUGUGUCCCUGAAACAAAACUUUAAUUUAAAAGCUGUGCUGCUGUGGACGAUAAGUGACUUUCCAGCAUACGGUAUGUUAUCAGGAUGGACUACUCAUGGUAAAUUGUCUUGUCCAAUUUGCAUGGAAGAUACAAAGGCUUUUUAUCUCCCUAAUGGAAGGAAGACAUGUUGGUUUGAUUGUCACAGAAGGUUUCUUCCACAAGAUCAUCCAUUAAGAAAAAAUAAAAAAGACUUUUUGAAGGGUAAAGGCAUGAGUGACUACCCACCAGAGUCUUUGACUGCUGAGCAAAUAUAUUCUGAGCGGAUAGAAUCUGUGAAUCCUGGUAGAACAUUUGAGUGCGGUGGAAAUGGUCAUGAAAAAAAGAAGGCUGGAUAUGGUAAGUGGCACAACUGGCACAAAGAAAGUAGUUUCUGGGAGUUGUCGUACUGGAGGGACCUUAAUCUCCGGCAUAAUCUUGAUGUGAUGCAUAUAGAAUAAGGCUAAAACGUGGCCCAUCUACUUCACUAGGGGAUACUUGUUUCAUACGCAGAAGCAUGGUGUGGACCGAAAAACCUGUAACUAUGGGAUAUGUGUGAAAGGAGAAAAUUAUACGGAUACAUCUGAUGAAGCCGAUUUCUAUGGAAUCUUAACUGAUAUCAUACAACUCGAGUACGAGGGAAUGGUAAAUUUGAAAAUCACACUUUUUAAAUGUAAUUGGUAUGACCCUGUUAUUGAUAGAGGCACACGAAGAAACAAUGGUGGCGUCACUGACGCUAAUUCAUCAAGAAGAUACAAUAAGUACGAACCAUUUAUCCUAGGUAUGUUGAUAUAUAUAUAUAUAUAUAUAUAUAUAUACUUAAAAUAUAUAUGUUUUUUUGUUGAAAGAAUCUUUUUAUUUUGCUGAUCUUCCACAGCUUCUCAAGCUGACCAAGUUUGUUAUAUUCCCUAUCCAUACCGAAAGAAACCGAAGCAAUUGUGGUUGAACGUGGUAAAAGUAAAUCCAAGAGGAAACAUUAAUGGAGAUUAUGAAGAGAAAGAACCAACUCUUUUACAACAAGUAAAUGAUGAUGAUAUAAUGCUGACUACAAUUGAGGAUCUUGUGGUCGAUAAUCGAGUACUCGGAGUAAACUCCAUAAAUCUUGAUUUUGAUGUUGAAGAUGCAGAACCAGCUGAUGAAUUUCAGUGUAACUUAUCAUCCUCAGAUGAUGAUGAAGAUGAAGAUGAACCUUACUAAUUAUUUUGUUUAAACUAGUUGAUAAUAUGAUGAAGAUUAAGAUGAACAUUACCAAUUUCAUUUUUUUAAAAAUUGUUUAAAUCAUUUGAUAUUAGUUGAUAUUAUCAAUUUAACUAAAUCAAAAUUAAACCAGAUUAAGAUUAAUCUUAAAACCAAAUUAAACCAUAAAACUAAACCAUAUCAAACCAGAUUAAAAUUUAGUUAACCCAUAAAACCUAAUUAAACCAUACUUAACCAAAAUUAACUCACUAACCCUAAAUUAACCCGAAGCCCACUAACUAAAUCCUAAGCCCACUAACUAAAAUUAACCCACUAACCCUAAAUUAACCCGAAGCCCACUAACUAAAUCCUAAGGCCACUAACACUUAACAAAAUUUCUUCUUCCCUCUAGUCGAUCUAAACGACUAAACCCUAAUUCCUCUUUCUCUUCUCUCGAUCAUUCCGCCUCUUCUCUCACACCGAUUCUCUCUUCUCAACCUGUUUUUCGAUUCUAAGUUCUAACCCACACCGAUUCUCUCUUAUCUUCACUCUUUCUCUCUUCUCCACCGAUCCGAAACCCACAAACCGAUGGUUACUCGUCGUUCGAAGAAAGGAAGAGGAGGUGGAAAGGCAUCGACUGCAAAGACGCCUCUCCCAAGUCGAUACGCCUUCACUCUGUCGCCGUCUAACCAGUCUCCACCACCGCUUCAACCGGAGAGGGCACCGUCGAUCUCGGUGAGAGAUUAUCCACCACCGACGCAUCUGUUCCAGAACCGCAGCCAACAUCAAAACUCUUCUCCGCCGCUUAAUGCUCCGUCGACUCAACCGCCUCAACCCCGAAGCUCCCAUAACUCCGAACACCGACCAGCCGCAAUCUCUGAAGAAGAAACAUCUCCGCAUGCUGAAGGGACUUACUCGCACUCCCAUGAAGGCCACAACGACAGUGAAGAAGCUCUAUUCAGCCCCGAUCUCGCUCCUGACCAUCAGAGAAUCCUGAACGCUUUGCUUACACAACCAGGAAGGGAAGCUUUCACCACAGUCCUAUCUCCUUUACCGAAGCCUAAUACAACAUGGUAAUGCUUUCAUUUUCAGCUUGUAUUGCUUAGUUUAGUUGUUUACGUUUGAACUUGAUUGGGUGUGGAACUCGGAUUAGGUUUCAAUAUGGUAUGCGACUUCAUUGCUUAGUUUACAAAUUUAGGUUUGGAACUUGAUUUUAGGUGUUGUAUGCGAAUUCGUUGCUUAGAUUAGGUAACAAUUAUGUAUGUUUUGAUAACUGGUAACUUGUUUGUAUCUGAAUUUGUAGGUUUGGUCGGGACAAAUCUAAACUUACCCGAAAGAUCACCAAGAUCUUUACAAACAAGUUCGACGGUCCCUUUUACAGCUGGACCUGUGUGCCUCGAGAGAGACAAGAACGGUACUUCAUUGAAUUUGCGGUAAGUAUUUCAUUCUUAUUCUCAUUUGUUUCUUUGAUGAUUUUCAGUCAUUUUAGGCAUUUGAAGCAAUUGUUUGUUUGAGUCGUUUGAGUUAUUUAUAGCAAUUUUUUGUUUGCUUCAUUUGAAGUUAUUGAGGCAUUUCAUUCUUUGAGUUAGUUGAGGCAUUAGAUUAGAUGUUUCUUAGUUUAGGCUCGCUUAAAAGAUCUUCUACUCAUUUGAUUCAUUUGAGGCAUUUGAGGCAUUUGUGGCAUAAGACUUCAUCGUUUCUUCUCCUUUGAUUAAUUUGACUUGUUUUUUUCACUUGCUAAUACCAUUUUCUAUGUUUCUAAUGUAGAAAACACACACUUGGGAUCCAUUAGUAACCGGUGUUGUCCAAGAAAAGUUUGAGAGCAUUUGUCUCAAUCGGAUGAAGGAUAUGGUGAGCAAGGCAAGGACUACUCGGGAGCAGCCCAACUGGAUUGGCGACACUCUCUGGAAACAAAUGAAUGAAUACUGGAACACUGAAGAAGCCAAGGAAAAGAGUGCCACUACAUCAGCUGCAAGGAUGUCUGAACGUGAUGGUCUUGGACCUCAUGUCCACUUCUCAGGCCAGAAGUCGUACAUACAAAUCCAACAAGAGAUGGUUAGUUCUCUUCCCUUUUCAUUCAUCACUUAUGUCUAUACAUCUUUAAACUCUUUUGUUUGACUUUUUUUUUCAUUGCAGGAAGAAGAACUUGGAAGGCCGGUGAGUCUUGGUGAAGUUUUCAUCAAGACUCAUACAAAAUCGGAUGGCACUUUUGUAGACCGAAAGUCCAAGACGGUGGCUGAAGCGUAUAAGAAGAAACUGGAAGAAAAGAUGGCUGAUCUUGGGGUAGACUCCGAGACUUCAGAUGGUACAUCACCGCCUGUGGUGCUGUCCGUAGAAGAGGAAAAUGAACUCUUUCUUCAGGUAAAUACUUUUUUUACAUUGUCUUUUAUGAUAUGCUUUUAUUCUUUGGAUUUUGACAGUUCUGUUAUUCUAAUACUGUUUUGCAGGCGACUUUCACAAAUGAAAGAGGCAUUCCUUAUGGAAUUGGAAGCCUCUCACAAACGACUGGAAAAAGGAAGUACCCAGGAACCUCGGCAACAUACAAGGGUCUCGAGGAGCAGCUUCAAGAAGCUCAACGCCUAAUAGAAGAACAAGCAGAUCAGAACUCAAGGCGUGAGGCAGAGCUUCUCAAAGUUUCUGCUGAGCAACAAGCCAGAAUCGACAAGUUAGCUCUGGUGGAAAGGUACUUGACUCAAACUGAUCCAGGGUUCUUAGAUUUUGUGGCUGCAAAUAAAGUUUCAAGUAAUCCAAUGCCUUCACCUAAUCACUCUACAACUCCCUAGGUUCUGGUUGGCCUCUGUUUUUCUUUGCUCCUUUAUUCUCUUUAAGAACUUAUCACAAUGAUAUGCUAUGUAUUAUUUGGGUAUUUUGAUCACAAUGUUUUGGAACAAUGUCUAUUUUGGUAUUUUGGAACAAUGCCUAUGUUUAAUGUAAUAUAUAUUUGCUUUUACAAGUUCUUCUAAUUAUUUGAUUUCGAGUUUAGCUUUUUGGUGUAAUGAACAAAUUUGAUCAAAUGAAAAUAGGAAAUAUAAUGGAUUACCAAACCUGAAUCCGUUUGAUCUAUGUAGUCGCAAAUUCGUCACAACUUCGUCGUAAAGUAGUCACGACUUCGUCGGAAAUCAGUCGCUAAACCAUAACAAAACAUCACGUUUUUGGUGAUAUCAGUCUUCAAACAGUCGCUAAAGUGAAAGCAAAGUAGUCGUGAUUCAGUCGUUAUAUACUGCGACUAUUUCGCGACUGAAUUUUCACGACCACUAAGCAGUCGCAAAAUGGUCACAAAGUUCGCAACUAAUUAGCGACUGAAUUUACACGACGUUCCGACGACCGAAUCAAAAGUCGCUAAUUAGUCACAACUGCAGUCACUUAUUAGUCGUUAAAUUAACUACUAAGUGCCGACUAUUUAACGACUGAAUGACGUAGUCGUUAAGUAGUCGCGAAUUAGUCAUUAGUUUGCGACUGAUUAGCGACUCUUUAUUUUAGCGACGUUAAAUUAACGACUAAUUUGUUUAGUCGCUACUCAGUCGCAAAACCACUUAUAGCGACUGAUUUGCGAUUGAUUUGUUCGUCGCUGAAAACCUGUUUUCUUGUAGUGAGGAUUUAAUAAAACUCUCUUUUAUUAAAUUUUAGGAAACUCUCUCAAAACCUAAAGAUCCAAAACACAAAACUCAUAAGUUAUGCCACACAUUGGCAUCUCCUUAUAUAGAUGUUUAGCUACUCCUAAACUUAAUGGAAUUAGAUAACUCCUAAUUUCCUUUUUCCUAACCUUAACACUUUUAGGAAACAUUACUUAAAGAUAAUCUAGAACAAUCUAGAAGCUUGCUCUUCAAGCUUUUCUCAAGCUUACUCCAACAAUCUCCCUCUUAAGCUUGAAGUCUUCUUUGAUCAUCUCUUUAACUCCAAUGAAGUUUCUCAUUUCUUUAAACUUGAUCCUUCCAAGUGCUUUAGUCAGAAUAUCAGCUUUCCUGUGGUUGUGAUCUUGUGCGUGAUAUCCCCACUCUUUACAGUAUCAAAUUAACAAAAGUUACUAUAAAAGACUAGUUUGCAACUUGUACCGUACAAGUUGUACGUCACGUUUAGAGACGUUUGACUCAAUUUCAUAGCUUUCUCGAUUGCUGUGAACUUCUUAAUGUUAACUUGUGAACCAGAAUCAGGUUAUUGAACCUAAACCAAGAUUUAUAUGAACCCGUAAUUGUUAAUAUAGAAGUUGGAAUCGGUCUAAAGUUUUGUUACAGGGAAUAAUUAAUGAAGAGAUCGUUAUUCGUUAACAAUUCUUAUAAUUAAAUAGCGUUGUCACAUCACAUAAAUAAUCUUCUAAUAAAUAAUUAAUACUUGAUUCAAAGCACCACGUCCCAAACAAUCACAUAGUGAUAUAUUAUAAAGGGGAGCCUAGAAGCUUAUUAUAUAAUUCUAUUAUAUAUAUAUAUCUUAUGAAACAUUGUCAAAUAUAUAUAUAUAUAUCUUAUGAAACUUGGGUUCAUGCCUUCUUCUUCUUUGGACCAACACCGUGACGACGACAACUUUUGCGAGACGAGUAAGCCUGUUCCACAGUUAUGGUUGUGUAUGGCGGGGCGAGCUUAUGAGUACCGUUCAUUCCGUUAAUAGCAUCCCUCAUGGAUUUCUCGUCUUUGAAAGUAACAAAUCCAUAUGCCAUUGAAUGAUCUUCAUCAUACUCAGAUGGAUAAACGACCUAUGAAACAAUGACUAACAUAAUUCAGAAUAAUUGUUAACAAAAAAAAAUCAAUACGUCGCCUAACUGGAUUUAUUAAUGAAAAAAAAAUGAAAAAACCAACAUAAGUUCCUAUAACGUCGCCAAACCGAGAAAACACAUUCUCAAGAUCAUCUUCUUCCGUGUCCACGUCUAAAUUGCGAACAUAGCACUUGUAUUCAACAUCUUCGGACGCCAUUUUUGAAAGAUGCAGAUUGAUGAGGACAAUUUAUAUAAAAGAUUAUUUAUGUGGUUAUAAAUGCUAUCGAAUCUAAAACUUUUAGAAACAAGCGUCUUUUUUCUUUCCUUGAAACUAGUUUUCCCUAGUUCCCAAACUUUCUAGAUAUUUUAUCUAAAUCUCAGUGUUUUUUUUUCCGGUACAACUAAAAUGUGAAAACCAUUACUAGUAAAUUGAUUUUAUUGGAAAGUAGGAGUAUUUGUUUCCAAUAAAAUUCAAUUUGUUUUCUUGCUUAAGCUGUCAGUUUCAGUUUAUACUAUUUUUUACCUACCACAACAAUUCAAUAAUAUCACUCAAUUUGCUUAUGAAAUGCACUAUUGAUAUGAUGAUGAAUACAAAAUUCUAACGAAACUCUUGUUGAAAUGCAUCUUUACAUUAUAAAGGUGCACUAAGCUACUAACGAAACUCUUGUCUCACUAUUGUUACUUUUUUCUGUUAAUUUGCAUUUGGAUAUAUAAUUCCUCUGGACAUCUGCAAGUGAGCACAGUUAGAUAAACACAAAACGCUAAUGUGCUUCUACUAUAUUUAAAUCUUGGUUUAGAGAUGAGUAGUUACUUUGGGAGCGAAACAAACCGGUUUAGUUAUAACCUGUGGUUGUGACUAGGCCUGAAUUUUUCGGGAAUUAGAACGGGAAUUGACAGGUAAAGGAUGGGAAUUGAAAUUUCGGGAAUCUAAAUAUAUUACCCAAAAUAUUCCCACAAAAUAACGAGAGGGAAAUUUACGGGUAUGGGAUGGAAAUGGGAAAUUCGAAAAUCAAAACAUACUAUCCAUACAAUCCCAAAAUAAAAUAUAAUCAGGAAAAGAACAGGAAAGGAACAGGAAAGGGACGGGAAAAAUUUCGGAUAAUUCGGAUAAUUAAACUAAAAUCAAUUUUGUUUUUUUUUUUUAAAUUAUUAUUUGUUAAUAAAUUGGAAAAAUCAUUAUUUAUUAUAAAAAAAAUUUCAGUUAACCAAAAUCUCUAAAAUUUCACUUUAUAUAAUUACCCAACGGGAAGUUCGGGUAAUCCCAUUCCCGUCCCUACCCUUUUCCUUACCCAUUCAAAUAUUAUUUUCAAACCCAAAUGGGAAAUUACAAUUUCCCUUUUUCGAAAAGUUUGGGAAUUUCGGGACGGAUACGUUUCGGGACGGGUUACCCUUCCCGAAAAAUUCAGGCUUAGUUGUGACCUUGUGCGUAAUAUAGAUACUCACUUUUUACAGUAUCAAAUUAACAAAAAUUAUACUAAAAGCCUAGUUUGCAACUAAUAUCGACUUUGGCUCAAGAACAGGAUUUAAUAAAACUCUCUUUUAUUAAAUUUUAGGAAACUCUCUCAAAACCUAAAGAUCCAAAACACAAAACUCAUAAGUUAUGCCACACAUUGGCAUCUCCUUAUAUAGAUGUUUAGCUACUCCUAAACUUAAUGGAAUUAGAUAACUCCUAAUUUCCUUUUUCCUAACCUUAACACUUUUAGGAAACAUUACUUAAAGAUAAUCUAGAACAAUCUAGAAGCUUGCUCUUCAAGCUUCUCUCAAGCUUACUCCAACAAUCUCCCUCUUAAGCUUGAAGUCUUCUUUGAUCAUCUCUUUAACUCCAGUGAAGUUUCUCAUUUCUUUAAACUUGAUCCUUCCAAGUGCUUUAGUCAGAAUAUCAGCUUUCUGUUCUGUUUCCGGAACAUGCUCAACCAAUAUUUGCUCAUUCUCGACACACUCUCUAAUGAAAUGAUAUCUUUUGUGUAUGUGUUUACUUCUGCCAUGAAACAUUGGAUUCUUUGUCAAUGCAAUUGCAGACCUGUUGUCAAUUCGAACCAAAGCUCUUUCACAUCCUGAUCCAAUGACUUCACCGAGUAACUCCUGCAGCCAAAUCGCUUGUUUUGCAGCUUCUGUAGCUGCCAUAAACUCAGCUUCACAAGAAGAUAAUGCCACUAUCUCUUGCUUUUGAGAACACCAGGUUAUUGGACAUUCAUUGAGAUAAAAGAUAUGACCAGAAGUACUCUUGCCAUCAUCCAAAUCAACAUUGUGACUACUGUCACUGUAUCCGAUCAAACCAGAUAAACUGCUUUUCGAAAACUUCAAUCCAUAACUCAAAGUUCCUCGAAGAUACCUUAGUACUUGUUUGAGUGCUAUUCCAUGAGAUUCUUUAGGCUCCUGCAUGUAUCGACUUAGCACUCCAACAGCAUAAGAAAGAUCAGGUCGCGUAUGAAGCAAGUAUCGAAGACAGCCUAUAUUUCUCCUAUACUUCUUCUCAUCGAUUGCUCGUUCUUCUUGUGCUUUGCAUAGCUUUAAACCAGAGUCCAUUGGAACGUGUACAGCAUUACAUUCAUCCAAGCCAUUCUCUUCGAGAAUUCUUCUUGCAUAUCUCUCUUGAUUUAAUGUGAUGCAUCCUCUUUGUUGUCCUACUUCGAUCCCAAGAUAGUAGGUUAACCUUCCAAGGUCACUCAUCUCAAAUCGUUCUGCCAUGCGCCUUUUAAACUCAAGUAUCAGCUCCAAGCUUGAACCUGUGACUAGUAAAUCGUCCACAUAUACCGCCACAAGCAAAAGAAACCCCUUUUCUUCUCUUCGGUACAGUGAAGGUUCCUUUGAACACUUGCUAAACUUCAAUUCAACAAGAAUUUGAUUUAACUUGUUGUUCCAAGCCCUUGGUGCCUGUUUCAGUCCAUAAAGAGCCUUGUGUAGUUUAUACACCUUAUCUUCACUUCCUUUGAUUUCAAAUCCCUCAGGUUGAUGAACAUACACUUCUUCUUUCAGCUCGCCAUGUAAGAAGGCUGUUUUUACAUCAAGAUGAUGUACUUCCCAUUCACUUGAAGCGGCUAGAGCAAUAAUAAAUCGAAUGGUUUCUAUGCGUGCCACUGGAGCAAAUACUUCGUCGAAAUCAAUACCAUAUCUCUGCACAUAACCCUUUGCCACAAGUCUUGAUUUGUAUUUGUUUAUGCUUCCAUCAGAGUUAUGUUUGAUUUUAAAUACCCAUUUAAGUCCAAUGGCUUUUGCUCCUUUAGGAAGAUUGACCAAAGUCCAAGUCUUGUUCUUGUUGAUCGAUGCAAUCUCUUCUUCACAUGCGUUUCUCCAUACUUUUAGGGAUUUCGCUUCAUUAAAAUCCCAUGGUUCUUCAUUCAUGGCUAACAAUAGGCGUUCACUCUCUAAUUCUGCAAUCAUUACAAAAUCAUCGAAGUGACCUGGUUGCUUGCGAAGUCGUGUUGAUCUUCUAAGUGCCGGUUGGUCUUGCACUUGUUCUUCUGUAGUAUUGUCUUCGGUUUCAAGGUUAAUACCAUCGGAAGCAUUGUUGUCUUCGACAUUAUCUCCAUCAUUCGUGUACUGUUCACUUUCGUCCUCUGUUUCCUCUGUUUCAUUUGUUCCAUUGUUUUGCUUUCCUCCUAAGACGAGAGUGAAUGUUCUGAUGCCACUGUUUAACUCGUUUACUGUGUUAUUCCACUUCCAGCUCUUUGUUUCGUCAAAGAUCACGUCGCGACUAACAAUAAUUCUUCUACUCUUUGGUUCCAAUAAUCGGUAGGCCUUUGAUCCUGGUUCAGUUCCCAGAUGGAUGAGAAUCUGUGAUCUAUCAUCGAGUUUUUUCAAAUGUGGAGAUGUGAUUUUUGCAUAUCCAAUACACCCGAAAACUCGCAGAUGCUCAAUGUUCGGUUUUCUUCUCUUGAAUGCUUCAUAUGGGGUUUGCUUCUCCAAACUCUUUGUAGCCACUCGAUUGAUAAGAUAUGUUGCAUGUCUCACAGCCUCCCCCCAAAGGUAGUUAGGAAUAUUCAUAUGUUUCAUGAUACUCCUAGUCAUCUCCAUAAGAGUUCUGUUCCUUUUUUCUACUACUCCAUUUUGUUGAGGAGAGUAGGGAGCGGUCAAGUGUCUUUUGAUGCCUGCAUUAUCACAAAACUCCUGGAAUUCUUGAGACACGAACUCACCUCCUCUGUCCGUUCUCAAGGUUUUAAUUAGUCGACCAGUUUCUUGCUCAACAACUGCUUUAAACCCUUUGAAUCGGCUGAAAGCUUCACUCUUUUCUUUGAGAAGAAGAGACCACAUAUACCUAGAAUAGUCAUCAAUUAACACGAAAACAUAUCGGUUUUGUGCUGCUGUUGCAGGUGCAAUCGGUCCACAAAGGUCACCAUGAACGAGUUCAAGUGGUUCUGAUGCUCGAUAUGUUGUUGAUUGUGGGAAAGGCUUUCUCAUCUGCUUUCCGAGCAUACAUGCGGAGCAGGUAUCCUUUUCUACAAAAAAGUUUGGUAUUCCUUUGACAAGAUCCUUCUUGAUCAUUGUCUUCAUGGUCUCUAUACCAACAUGUCCUAGCCUCGCAUGCCAUUUAACAGAAUCACUUAUAGCCAUGAUUUGCAGACACUUCGCUUUCUCCACCUCCAUGUGAACUUUGUAGAGUCUAUUCCUUGAUCUGUUCGCUUUGACUAGAAGUUUUCCAUCGCUGCCAUAUAACAUGAGAUGGUUCUUUCUCAUACGAAUAUCGCACCCUGAUUCCGUAGCCUGUCCUAAACUGAUAAUAACUGAUAAUGUUGCUUCGAAGGUCAGGUAUAAAAUAGACAUCUGCUAAGAUUUUACGUUCACCAUCCUUGCUUACGAAUAGUGUAGACCCUUUGCCUUUUAUGUCGAUGCGAGAAUCAUCCCCAAAUCGCAAUUUUCCUGUAAUAUUCUCAUCGAUCUUUGUGAAGAAGCUUCGAUUUCCUGUCAUGUGGUUACUAGCACCAUUGUCUAGAUACCACACAUCGUCUUCAGCCGGAGAUGACUCAAAGUUAUUUGGUUUGACGUUUCUCUCGUUGAGAAACACAACCUCGUGCAUCAUUAGUUUUUCUCCUUCAUGUGUUUCUUCUUCAUUGUCAUUAUCUUCUCUGGUUUCUUGCAGUUUUAACAGUCUAUCAGGGCAGUGUGACGCGUAGUGACCUGUUUGAUCACACCGAUAACAGGUGACUUUGGACAUAUCUCUUGCCUCGUUGGUCCUACCACGUCCUCUUCCUCUGCUGUAAAACCGUCCUCCACGACCUCUGCCUCUGUUUUCACCGGUGUAGCCUCGGUUUGAUUGACUUUCGCUAUUCGCAUACAUUAAUUUGUUCGAAUCUUCUUGGGUUUCCUCGUCUUCUCCUUGGAUACGUUCCUCGUACGCUUUUAAACGCCUUGUGAUAUCUUCGAAGGUAGUAUUGUUGAGAUCCAAUACUUGUUCGAGAGAUGCCACAAUGUGUAUGUAUCGUUUCCUUGGAAGACUCUUCAGAAACUUUCGAACAAGCUUUGAUUCCUCGAUAUUAGUUCCCAAAGCCGCAGAUUUUGAGCAGAUCUCCGAUAGUUUUCCGCUGAAGUCAUCAAUUGUUUCUGUAUCCUUCAUCUUUAGUUUGUCAAACUCAGCCAUUGACAUCUGCAAUCGAGCUUCCCGGACUCUCUCGGCUCCUACGUUUUUGGCUUUGAUCGCAUCCCACACCUUCUUUGCUGUUGCUAAUUCUCCGAUUUGUAGUAUAGCUGUUUCGGGCAUGGACUGAAAGAUUAAGGCCAUCGCUACAUCGUUUUUCUCGGCAUCGGUCAGACUCUGUUUCUACGACUUCCCAUACUUUAUGAACUCUGAGUAAUAUCCGCAUUCUCAUCGCCCAUACGGUAUAAUUGGUCGAGUUCAGCAUCGGACAUUGGAUGGUGGACGUACUCAGCUCUUUAGGUCGCGUGACAGGAACAAUAUCUCCCAUAGCUUCGGUUUUAAUGAUCUUCGUAUUUGACUUGUUCGGAUCGAUAGAUUAGAGGCUCUGAUACCAAAUAAUAUCGACUUUGGCUCAAGAACAGGAUUUAAUAAAACUCUCUUUUAUUAAAUUUUAGGAAACUCUCUCAAAACCUAAAGAUCCAAAACACAAAACUCAUAAGUUAUGCCACACAUUGGCAUCUCCUUAUAUAGAUGUUUAGUUACUCCUAAAUUUAAUAGAAUUAGAUAACUCCUAAUUUCCUUUUUCUUAACCUUAACACUUUUAGGAAACAUUACUUAAAGAUAAUCUAGAACAAUCUAGAAGCUUGCUCUUCAAGCUUCUAGAAAGCUUACUCCAACAGCAACAUGUACGUCACGUUGAGAGACGUUUGACUCAAUUCAUAGCUUUCUCGAUUGCUGUGAACUUCUUAAUGUUAACUUGUGAACCAGAAUCAGCUGAAGAGGUCGGUAAUUGAACGUAAACCAAUAUUUAUAUCAUGAACCGGUAAUUGUUAAUAUUGAAGUUCGAAUCGGUCUAAAGUUUUACUAGAGGGGAUUAGGAAAAACGGUCUAUUCCCCCAUGAAUUUUAUGUUUUCUAAAAAUCAAUACACUAACUAUUGAACUAUAUUUAUAACUAUAUGAAAUAUUAAAAUGCGGCCAAUUUCAUCAAAACCGUAAACAAUAUUAAUUUUCUGUCUACAAUUAAUGACGUAGCAGACACGUGGCAUACCAGUUUAAUAUAUAAUUUGAUCAAUUUUUUUUUUAAGUGCGUCGUUUUGAUAUUUCUUAAAAAAUGCAUUUCUUAAGAAUCUAACACACAAGUAAGGGUUUAGUGAGGGCUAGGGAUCGUUGAGUCAAUUUAUCAGUGAACAAUGCGACUUAAUAUAUGAUUGUGUGUAGAGAACAAUGCGACUUAUGAAGUUAUCAAUGAGGGCUAGGGAUCGUUGAGUCAAUUUAUAGAAAAUGUGUGAGGUUGAUUAUUUAUGCAUAUGGUCAAUGCAACACGUCGAAUCUAUUAAAUUUUGAUACAAGUUUUUGUUUUUUUUUGGGGAACUACUUUCCUAACUUUAGACAAUAUUUGAUCUUUAGAAUAGUUUCAAGAAAAAUUCAUACGCAAAUUUCAAAGUGAAUUUCGUUUACCAAUUGUUUUGUUUUUUAUCGUUGUUUUUUUUUUUGGUAAAAGGGUGGAAAAAUUGCAAGAAACAAAUUAUCUUGGCAACAAAACAAAAUGAUGAACAUUUUUUUUAACGAAGUUUCUGAAUCCUCCCUUAGUUUAUGAAAUACACAAGAAAGCAUUUUAUUUUUUCUUUUUCAAAAAAUCAAAGGAAACUCGCUUUUACGUUAAUUUCAAAGUGAAUUUCGUUUACCAACUGUAUUUUUUUGGCUAAUAUCGUUGUGUUUUUUUGGUAAAAAGGUGGAAAAAUUACAAGAAACAAAUGAUUUUGGAAACAAAAAUGAUGAACAUUUUUUCUUAACGAAGUUUCUGACCCUUAGUUUAUAAAAUACACACGAGAGCACUUCUAUUCUAUUAAAACAGAAGCACAUUUAGUGCUUGCAUCCAAACACUCUCAAAGUUUUUUUAUAAUAUUUUACAUUAUUUUUAUAUUUAAUUACCAAAAACUAGUUAAUAAUUUAGAUAUUUUUAGAUUUUCCAAAAUCUAAGUCAUCUUUAAUUUAAAUUUCAAAUUAUUAGAAAUUUAAUUAAAUUUAGUUACAAAAAUUUGCAUUAAAUUUAAUUUAAAUUCAAAAAAUUCAAAAAAAUAUAAUUAAAUUUUAUUACGAAAAUUUAGAUAUACUUUAGAAUUUCUUAAAUACAGGAAAGGUUAAAUUUAAAAUUUUAAAUUUAAAUAAUAUAUUUAUAAAAAUGCAUAGUAAAUAAAUAUUUUAUCGUAUUUUAUCAUAAACAAUCGGUCUAAAAUAUCAAAUAUUUGAGAUUAAUAAAUAUUUAUAUUAUACAAUAAUAUGAUCGAGCUGAUUAGAGUUAUAUAUAUAUAUAAGGUCUAUAUGUUAAUUUAUUAAAACAUGUAAGAUAUUAAGAUGAUUUGAGACAAUUAAACUAACAGGUUAGCACGUUUAUAUAUAUUUUUUUAAAUAGCACAAAUAGUAAAUAAAUAUCUUAUUAUAUUUUUUCAUAAUCAAUUGGUCCAAAUAUUCCAUAUUAGUGAAUAUUUAUAGGAUUAUACAAUUAUAAUUAUAGUCUUAUACAAGUUAGUUUGUCAAAACAUAUAAAAUAUUAAAAAUGAUUUAAGAUAACUAAACGGAUGAAUUAGCAAAUUCAUAGAUAUAUAGAUUGUUUAUGUGUAAAUCUAAAUUCACAUAAUAACAAAGUUUAUAAUUAUGUAUUCUACUAAUAUACAAAUUUUACUGUUUAAAAUUAAAAUAUGAUAAGAAUUUUUUUAUUUAAAAAAAUAAAUAAUAAAAAUAAGUUAUAUCUAAACAAAAAAGAUAAAUACAACUUAUAUUAGAAAUAAAAAAUAAAAAAUUCCCGACGAAUGCACGGGAUUAAAAUCUAGUUUUUUAAUUAAAAAAUCAAAGUAGGCUCGCUUUUCCGUUAAUUCUCUGCUAACUGACUUUACACGGCGGCGAUGGCCGUUACCUCUGAAACUCCCGACGGCUCUAACGGCGGCGAUCCAAACAAGAAACCAGAAGACGUCGAGAAAGAAGAGGAAGAAGAAGAGAAUCAAAAGGAGAAACCUGAAGACGAAGAAGAAGAAGAAAUACAGUAUCGCUCGAUUUCUUUCCCAAAUCUUCCACACGAUCUCACCGAACUUUGCGUCGCACUCCUCCGGAGAUGCAAUUACCCGAGCCUAUCCCUCAUCUCCAAGGGCUUUCGCACUCUUGCCGCUUCGCCGAGACUCUACGACGCUCGCUCGCGACUCGGCGUCACCGAAUGCGUUCUUUACGCCUCCAUCGGAUUCCCUACUUCCUCAAGCCCGAGCUGGUACAUUCUCCGCCGUGACGAGAUCUCCUUGCGACUGUGCAGAAUCGACAAACUCCCGAUUCAUUGGGGAUCUGCCGUCGUCACAAUCGGACCGACGAUGUACGUAAUCGGAGGAAGAUCCGACGGGAAACCCACAUCGGAUGUGACUCUAAUCGAUUGCAGAUUCCACACAUGAAAAACAAAUGAUCCCUCGUUUCAAUUGGUUCACUGCAGAAGACACAACUGGUGGUUGCAUUCUGGUUCCAGUUUUUGAUUCUGUCCCCUGUGGCUAAUCUGUUCUUGAUCGCUAGCCAGAGCAUAAAUGAGUACUUGGGAGUAGCGUGGGGAAACCAAACUCCUCUGCACCAAGGCACGAUCUGUCUCCCUGUUUUUUUGGCUUCAAACCUCGGUUUAUACUGUCCAUUUUUACCCUUCCACUGUGUCUCGUCUCGAUCCUUGGGUGAUUUUUCUCAAUCUCAACUGCUCUAUCUCUGUUUCGAUCUCGUUAAGUAGGCCCUGGCGGUGUCUCCGCCUUCUUGGUCUGUCAAGAACCUCAGCCAUCGUCGCAUGUUUUGAAAAUCCCAGGUCAAUGAUGCCUCGUUCCCCAACUAGCUCCAGCAGACAUCCUUUACUGCUCCAUGAGUCAUACCAGAAAGACGUAUGUGUUCCAUUUUUUACCUCCACUCGGUAGAAGUUUUUUGCGAGGGUUCUGUACUUAAGAAGCUUCUUCCACAUCCAGGAGCCCAUUGAUGUUGUAUCUUUUAUUGCCCAGAAAGACCCUUCCCGUAUAAGCUGCGCCUGAAUCCACUGUACCCAUAAAGAGCUCGGGGAUGACAUAAUCCUCCAAAUAAGCUUUAGACAGCAAACUUUAUUUGCAACCUCAAUCGAGAUCUCAAGCAGGAUCCUUUUUCCCAGGGAAGGUGUUUGGGCACGAAGGAACGAUGGUGAAGAAUUGAAGAGUUUGUGGAAAGCAUCGUCUUGUGUGGUUGAUGAUAAGCUGUAUUCGAUCGAUCCUUUGUGUAGUCUUGGACAUCCAGUAGUCGUGUAUGAUCCAACGGAGAGGACUUGGAGAUCUGUGAGAGGUGUCUAUGGUUUUCCUACUAAUAUCUCUGAUUAUGACUCUAAAAUGGCAAAUCUUGGUGGGAAGCUGGUGGUUUUGGCUGGUAAGAGCCCGUUGUUUAGGUCUGAUCAUCACGGGGAAGAAGAGAUUUGGUGCUUAGAGAUCCAUUUGGAAAGACGUCAAGAUGGUGAGAUUUGGGGGAAUGUCGAAUCAAUCAAGCGUGUGCUUACAUCAAUCGAGUCGCCUUACAUUGAGCAUUGUCGAACUUUUACCCUUUGAUGAUGCUUGGGAUUGGUGUUCUUGCAGGUAUGUAUGUUUAUGUGAUAAAGUUAUGGCAUUUUCGUUACCCUCUCAAAGGCUUUACUUAUAGGACAUUCAUGAACUUGCAGGUGAAUCAAAGUGACUCAGAAGCUGUAUCUGACACCUCAAGAGUAACUCUUACUUCUUUACCUCUCUGCACAGUGUAUAUACUCUUUACAGAAUUAGCCUUGAGUAGAUUUCUUAAGCUGUAAAGAAGAUAGGUUUAUUCUUUUAGCUGCCUUUAUACAAAAAUUCUUACGAAAUUUGUUGUUGAAUUGCAUCUCUGCACAGUGUAGAUACUCUUACAGAAUUAGCCUUGAGUAGAUUUCUUGAGCUGUACAGAAGGUAGGCUAUUCUUGUAGCUGCCUUUAUAGAAAAAUUCUUACGAAAUUGUUGAAAUGCAUCUUUAGUUAGCUAUGUCUUUAGUUAGCUAUCAUUUUGCUAUCUUUUUUUUUUGUAUGUUCUGCAAGUCAUAUUCAAGAUAUAGCAGAAAUCAAACCUGCUUCUACUAGAAGAGCAAUGUGAAAUCGUGGUUGAGAUAAGAAGCAUAACAAAUUAAUUUAGUUAACCGGUGGUUUUGACUUUAUGGGUAACUACAAUAUCAAAUUGAGGAAAUACAAAGACCUGAAGCGUACAUAGAAUGUUCAAUGUGGAGAGAAUAUUACCUUUAUAGGUACCAAAACCCAAUUUACUUAUACCAUUUGAGAAAUAUGAAAUUCUGGUUUAGAGAUGAAGCAAAACGAACGGUUUAGCUAUACAUUAUAGAUAACUACAAGUCUAAAAUAGAAAAUAUCAAGUUGACAAUAUACAAAGACUAGUCAAAACACAACCAUCCAAAACUUUGAAUUUAACAUUUGUUGACACCAUUCGAAGGAAAGAUACAGGACAAAUUAGGGUUUCUAAAUAGAAAACAGAGAGAUUUGUGACUUGUGAGUAACGUUAAGAGACGUUUGGUUGCUAGAGUUAUAGAUUUCCUGUUCUUCUGAGUUUAACAAGACCCAUUGUGCUUCUACUAUAUAUGAAAUCUUGGUUCAGUUAUGUGAAGAUGUUACGUGAGCAAAACAAACUAAGUUGCAACUCAAAAUGUAUUUAACUGUAUGCUGAUUUUACAAGAAAAGUUUCAAAUAAUACUUUUGCCAAGAAAUGAAGAAAUGCCACUUUUUUUUGUUAUGAUAAGAAAAUGGAAACAAGUAAAAUUGCUUAUAUAUCGUGGUAUAUUUUUUCUUGUUAUAGUUUUGAUUUGCUUAAUUUUGGUUGCAAAUUGAAGAAUUUUAAUUGUAAUAGUAAUCUUUUUACAAAGGAAGAAACCACAAUUUAGAAUUAAGUUAGAUUUUUUGUCACGUGAGUGUCCAAUCAGGUUUUUAAAACUACUAUUUUAUCUCUCGGUUUAUGCAAAAUGACUAUUUGAAGUUUUAUUUGGUAAAUUAGGUCUAUUUUUUGCCGCCAUCUUUAUUUUUUUUUCCGUCAUCUUUUAGUCGAUAAUUAAAAACAAAACAGAGCAAUUAAUGACUGAAGAGUAUAUCUAUCUACUAAUCAGUCAUCAGUAAGUAGUAGACACAAGACAAGAAAAUCGAAUUAGGCCAUCAUAAUCUCUGAAACUUCCGACGACUGAUGGCGAUGGUUGUAAUCUCCGAGAUUACCGACGAUUCUAACGGCGGCGAUCCAAAAUACAAUAUAAGUUAUGAGAAGACAAGCUUAAAAAAUAGCCAUCAAUGAGGUCUGGUAGUAAGUUUAUUAGACCUAUUAUUAUGUCAGUCAAAAGUGCUAAACAAUUUUUUAUAACUCUAACGAAAUACCGUUCCUUCGUAUAUGAGAAGACAAGCUUAAAAAAUACCCACCAAUGAAGUCUGCUACUAAGUCUGUUAUACCUGUUAUUAUAUCAGUCAAAAGUAUUAAAAAAUUGUUUAGAGGUCUAAUGAAAUAUAUUCUAAGUAACAAAACAUCGCCAAUAAAGGGUUUGGUAUCAAUGUUAUACAUGUUAUACAUGUUAUUAAUCUGUUUAGCAUACUAAAUUUUUGAUUAGAUUGGUUAAUAUCUAUUAGGGCCCUAACUCUGACUUUUUAGAGGAUAAUAAUAAAAAUACACCAGUACAAAGUAAUUGGUAACAGUUUGGAGACCCAUAAAAGACAACAAUUUGCCACAACAAAGAUAGAGUAGAGUGUCUUGCAAUACCAAGUAACAUGAAAAAAAGGGUUAUCGGACGAGCACAUGAAAUCCUCAGAGUGGUUCAGCGAAUUCGUCAAAGAAUUUCAUAGCCAAUACUUGACUCGCGUUGACAAGUUCUUCUGGUGUCAUCGACUUGCAUCUCUCCACACCCCCAAUACAAUGCAUCAUUGCCAAAAGCACAGCGGAUACUCCAGAAUCAGUACAUAUGGGUUAUGUGGAAUCCUUUUGGCUCUUUGUAUCGAGAACACCUUAUACUCGAUUGGACGUUUGUAACCCGUUAACUUUUUCAAGAUGAACGACAACAUCUGAGCUAGAGGUGUAAACUCUUUUUUUGUGGCCGCCUCUGUCACAAGUUCGGCUUGAGUCAUCCCACCCUUGAACAUCUCCUUCCUGAAUUGAAAACCUUCACCAAUAAGUUGAACCACAUAAUCCACUUUGGGAUCGUCGGGAGUAAUACUGAAAACAUCAACCUGUAAAUAUAUUACACGGUUAACAUAAUGCUUAGAUAAGGGAGUCGUACAAAACAGAUAACCGAACUGUUAGAUGGCAGUAAAAAUUGUUAGCGGUUACAUAUGCGAGUCGUUUAAACAGCUAACAGAAUUGUUACAUGGCAAUAAAGUUGUUAGCUGUUACAUAUGACAUUCCUUUUAAACAGAUAACGGGAAUGUUAGAUGGGUAUCAAAGUUGUUAGCUGUUACAUGUGCAUCAACUUUAAAACAUAUAACGGGAUUGUUAGAUGGGUAUCAAAUUUGUUAGCAUUUAAAUGUGCCACCCCUUUAAACAGGUAACAGAAUUGUUAGAUGGGAAUCAAAGUUGUUAGUUGUUACUUACUUUACAUUCUUCAUCUACUUCCCUCGCAUGGCCGGGACUGAGCCCAAGUUUCGAAACCUCCGAUCUGGGGUUUGUCUUAGAUGUAAUCUGAUCUGGGUCAAUCGUUGUGUCCUGAUCUAACAAGCCCUUACCACCUCCUCCCGAUUGAACGGCAUCGUCAAUGUCAACAUCUUCGUCUUCACCACCUUCAGAAUCAAAAGAAUCAGAAGAUUCAUUCACUUGAACAACCUCCGUAAGCGCCGGAAUGGCCUCCACCAGAAUUAACUGAAUAUCAUGAAAAAAAUCUUUUACUGCGACGGUGCUUUGUGCAAGGGCAACCUCAUAUUUGGUUUUUAUGUUAGCGAUUAGCAUCUCGAAUCCAAGUCUACCCCAUGGAUAUGCGAAGAAAUCUUCCAAAUCUCUGAUUAACUCGACAUGGUCAUACACGAUUUUCGACCGGUGGUUGGUAGGGCAGAGAACAGCGCCGGUAAUAGCAGGGCAAGUGUACUUCAAACGAGUAGUCCAGUCGACAACGGUUUUCUUCUUAAGCAUCUUGGUUGCCAAAUCAACUUUGAGAAGUCUGGUGAUUAUGUUAUGCCCGAAACUCCCAGUAACCGUCGCCAGUGGCGAUGAGUUUCCCGAAAGGCGAUUUUCGUAAGUAGUUUCUCUCCUCCUCGUCAAGAGCAUCGAGAAUGUUACUGAUGGUAUUCGCUUUAUGAUAGGAGUUCACCCUCUCGCCGGUGGGUUCGUCGCCGGCGGCAAAAUUUCUGGUCGGGAGUUCUUGAAGCGCCAUUAGUGACCAGAUGCAAGUGGGGAAAAAACGUCUCUGCAUUAGGAAGUUCCAGAGAUGAAUUGUUGUAAAUAUCUUCAAUUUGAAAUACUCUUUUCAAAUUUUUAAGUAGCAUUAUUACACUAAAGUCCUAGGGGUUCUUUUACCUGUAGCCUAUAACCGUUAGAGUUAUAGGGAGUUUUUUGUAUUAAUGAAAAUAUGUAAAUAGGUGUAUAACGUAUAAUUUUAUAUGUUUGCAAAUACGAUCGUAUUCUAUGUUACAGCAUGCAAAUUCUCUAAAUUAAAUUAUAUUAUAAAUUACAUUUAUUGUCGCAAACAUUAUCAUACCGAAACUUCUUAGUUACUUAAACCAUAACUUACAUGUUAUCGUUGCAUGGCAAUUAUUGAUCUGAUGUAGAACAAAAAGCUUUUUACUUAAUCGAUAAUACUAUCGCUAUUGCAUAUGUUUUGUUUCUGAGUGCUUGUUUUCUCAAUAUUUUUUUCCCUCGGUAGCAAUCAUGGCUGCUGAAAAUAAUGAGAUGAAGAAUGAGGAAGAAGUAAGUUGGGUUUUUGUUCUCUUAAGGGAAAAAGGAUCCUCUUUCUUAAAUAUUAAGUUACCCAUAUACUUUUGAGGAUAAAUCAUGAUUGUAUGGUUUUUCUUUUUUGGUCAUCCUUAGCUCCCACCCUUUGAUCCAACCAAGAAGAAGAAAGUUGUCAUUCAGGAUCUUGUCAAGGACUCAACAGUCACAUACGGAGAAAUAUGAUUCAUUGCCUGGUAUGUUGAAGAGAGUGUUUAAAUUAGAUGUUUUGUGUCUUUCUAAAAAAAUUUUGAACUCUAUAAGCCUGUGUUUUGCUGAUUAUGUGCCUAUGUGUUUAGAUGGUAUUUUUUAAUUCCUUUUUUGUGCUAAGGAUGUGGAAGUUAGAUUACAUGAAUAGAAAUGGAAUCCUUUAUCAUUGUUCUCACCUCAUCUUCUACUCUCUCUGAAUGUGGAAGUUAUAGCUAUAUUGACUUAAAAAUGAGUAGGUAGUUGUAAAGUUUAUGCCUGAAUGAUUCUGAGAAGAACAAGAAUGGAACUGCAGAUCAUUCUAUGUGGAGAAACUAUGAUGACCUGAACAAGAACUUCUCCUCAAACCAUUCAUUGUCUAAUGUCUCUUGAGUGCAUCAAAAUUGGCUGGCCAAUGCGUCUUGACCAUGAUUUGUUCUGUAUAGAAUCGUUAGAUACCAGCAAACCACAGAGAUGGCAAGGAAUACUUAGAUUUCGCAAGCAGAAUAAGAAAACCGAGGAAGAAAUGGAGGAUGACGUAGAACUUGAGGUACAUACUCUGUUUUUGUCGUCUAUACAGCAUUGGGUCUAUACACUGUUUUUGUUACAGUGUAAGUAUAGUCUCAUUUAUACGAGAUUUUGGAUCAAAUGGACAUCUUUCACAUAAAUGGAUCAUGUGGCAUCUUCUCAUCUUUGCUUUCUUUGAUUUAUUUUUUCCCUUUAGAUUUCUAAAUUCGGAGAUAGUGUUCUUUCAUAUUCUGUUGUUGUUUAUGCGUUGUUCGUUGUUCUUAUAACUGAUCAAAGAGAUAAUAUUUUUUUGAUAAUAUUUUUUUAGCUGUCUUAUAUUUGUUCCGUGUAUACAUUGUUCCUGCUCUAGUGAGCUAUAUAUUUGUUUCCUGGUUCUCAUGUCUGUGGUUUUGUAUCUUUGCGUUUAUUUCGUUCUGUUUUUAUCUCCUUGCGAUUGUUUUGUUAUUAUAUUUGUUCAUGUGGCAUCGUCUCCCAUAUUUCCCUUCUGUUUGACGUUUAUCUCUCUCCUUCUUUUUAAAAUAUAACCUAUUUUUUGUGUAAUAUUGUCUUUUACAGUUGUGUUGUUGUGCUUUUAUGGGUCAGAUAUUUCCAGAUUCUGAUCCUAAAUGGAAAGAAGCGCAGAUCCUUCAGUUGUGAACCUAAAAGCUAAAACUCACGAGAAAGUUGAUAGCCUUGAAGAAUAACAGAAGCAUUGCAGCUCAUGAAGAAGUGAGUCAAUUUUAUCACAUUCCUUAAAUGUAUCAAUCUUCUUAAGAAAACACUUUUUAAUGUAAUCCCUUUAGACUAGGUUUAUUAAUACAUUCUUAGAAAUAGUGAAAAUCGAAUCAUGUGAUGACGAUACAUUGAAAUGGAAAAAUGAUUCUGGUUUCUGUCAGUUUUAAAUAAAACUUGAAAUUAUGACUUUUUUAGCUGUUUGGAUUGGUAACUUCUAGAAAUGGAUACCGCCAGUAACACCUGAGAUACAUUAGUUUUUUUUUUUGAAAAAAUGUUAAAUUAAAACAAAUUAUAAUUGGACACUUGAGAUCCAUUAGUUAUUACUUAUAGAAGUAUUUUAGACGAUUUAGUGAUUAUAAUUGAGUUAUCAAGGACUUCUUUUCAUACGUAAAACUGAGCUUCUUGUCAUACUUAAAACUGUAUCCUAGAAGAAUAUGAAUUUAGAGAGAAGAAAAAUGACAAAGGCAAUGAAGAAGGAAAAGAAAAAAAAAAGCAUAUAAAGAAAAAGAAAACUUGGAAGAAGAAGAAGAAGUUUGAGAAGAUGAUGAUGGAGAAGAAGAAAAAUCCAAAAAAGAAGAAAACUGAAAGAUAAAAAAGAAAAAAAGAAGAUCAAGACACAACAUAUAGAAGAAGUAGAAGUCGGUAACUUUCAUGAAGAUGAAAUAAAAAGAUGAAAAAUAAGAAAAACGAAAGAUGUAUGAGAGGAAGAAGAAAUAGAAAAAAUAGAAGUUGAAAACAAUAAGAUGGAAGAAAGAAAAGAAGUGAAAAAAAAAGAACAUGAAAAAAGAAAAACCAAUAAAAUAUGAAGUUAGAGAAGACAGAAAAUAAAGAAUGAGAAGUGAUAAAAACAAAAAAUAUAAGGAAAUAGCGAUAAAGAAUAAAAUUAAAAACACAGAAGAAAAAAUAAGAAACAAAAAAGUUAUGUUUUAGUUUAAUUAAUUUGUAGAUUUAUUCAUAUAUUUAUAUAAUACUUUUUGGCAAUUAAUUUUGGAUUGGGUUUACUUUUUGGAUUAAUUUUAUUUUGAUCUCUUAUGUAUUAAAUAGUUAUUUUAAUUUUCUUUAAUUUAUAACAUAAAUUUUUUUUUUUUUUUUUUUUUAAAACCUUUUGGCGCCUUGACUAAACACCUAGUAAUUAAUUAAGAUCGUUAUUCGUUGCAGUUCUUAUAAACAAGUUGUAAUGUUAUACGCUUGUUUCAUCUAUCACAAGACUUCGGAUUGUAACAGACGUACGUGAACUUGUAUGUGAAUGAUAUAGUUCAACCGGAGGCGAUGAUUGUAACUUUGUCAAUUAUUACUUGAUUCAAAGCACCAUUUUUAUUUAUUUAUUUGAUAAGAGACAUGUUGAUCGUAGUCAAAGCAACACCUUCCAAAUAUCAAUAUAUUAGGACACUGCAGGUUACAAAGCAAAAGACUUGAAGCUUAUUUUGUUUAUCUUCUAGUUAAACCUCUUUUGAAUGAUCAACACGUCCACGACGGCGAUGACGACGGCUUGUGCGAGUUGAGUUAGCCUCUUGCACAGUGAUGCUGCUUUCCCCGAGCUUCUGACCGUUCAUUCCGUUAAUGGCAUCCCACAUUGAUUUCUCGUCUUUGAAAGUAAGAAAUGCAUAAACCUUUAUGUUUUCAGAAUCACGUUGAUCUGUAAGGGAAAUAAGAUUGUAGAAUAUUGUGUUGUCUUCAUAAUGAUCUCGUACAAGGCAUAUAUAUAUACACAAUAUAAACCCUAGAAUAUCUUGACGGCUAAGCUAUAGACACCGACAUACUUGAAGCCCAAUAUUACCGAGCCCAAUUCCCUAAUACUCCCCCUCAAGUUGGAGUGUGGAGAUUCGAAACACCCAACUUGGACAUUAGAACUUUAAACUGAGGACGUCCUAAAGCCUUGGUAAGAACAUCAGCAAUCUGAUCUUUGGAACGAACAUGAACCGCAGUAAUAACGUCUUCAGUAACCGCAUCACGAACACAGUGACAAUCACGUUCAAUAUGUUUAGUGCGCUCAUGAAAAACUGGAUUGGCGGCAAUGUGCAUUGCUGCCUCACUAUCGCAAUAGAACGGAACAGGCUGUGUAACCGGAUUGCCAAGAUCACCCAUCAACUGAACAAUCCACUGAAUCUCCUUUGUAGCAAACGCCAUGGCCCGGUAGUCAGCUUCAGCCGUAGAAUGUGAGACAGUACUUUGUUUCUUUGUUUUCCAAGAAAUCGGACAACCGCCAAGUAGAACCACAUAUUCACUAAGGGAACGUCGUGUCAAGGGACAGGAUUGCCAAUCGGCAUCACAAUAGACAGACAACUGAAGAUUGCUAUCGGAUUUCAAGAGAAUACUUUGUCCGGGGCAGCCUUUUAAAUAUCUUACAACACGAAGUGCAGCUGUCCAAUGAGACUGAUGGGGCUCUUGCAUAAACUGUGACAACAAGUGGACAGCAUAACACAAAUCUGGUCUUGUAACAGAAAGAUAGACAAGACGACCAACUAGGCGUCGAUAACAAAAAGGAUCCGAGAGGAGAGGACUUGUAUCCGACGCAAGUUUGUGGUUUUGCUCAAUCGGUGUCAAUGCCGGCUUUGCGCCAAGGAGACCUGUGUCAGCGACAAUAUCAAGGAUACAUUUCCUUUGAGAGAGGAAAAUACCUUCGUCAGAACGUGCUACUUCAAUACCGAGGAAAUAUUUGAGCUUACCCAGAUCUUUCAUGUGGAAACAUUCGCCCAAAUAUGCCUUAAACUUUGUCAAUCUCUCCAUGUUAUUGCUUGCAAUAACCAGAUCGUCCACAUAAAUCAAAACUCGAAUUUCUGUCCCGCCCUUCUCAAAUGUGAAUAAUGAGUAAUCGGAAUAAGAUUGCUUGAAACCGAACUUUAACAGCACAGUAGACAGUUUGGCGAACCAGCAACGUGGUGCUUGACGAAGUCCAUAAAGGGAUUUCCGAAGACGCAGAACCUUAGUAGGAUCAGAGUGCGUAAAACCCGGAGGGAACUUCAUGUAAACUUCUUCUUUGAGGUCACCAUGAAGGAAAGCAUUAUGGACAUCCAUCUGAUGCACUUCCCAAUUCUUUGCGGAAACAACACCUAAAAGACUACGCACAGUCUCCAUUUUAACGACUGGAGCAAAAGUUUCGUCGAAAUCUUCCCCUUCCACCUGAAUAUUUCCCAUAACUACCAACCGAGCCUUAUGACGUUCGAUAGUUCCAUCGGCGUUAUAUUUAAUCUUAUAGACCCACUUGCAGGGAAUAGCAAUCUUUCCAGGCGGAAGUGAUUCAACAUCCCAUGUGUGAUUAUCUUCGAGAGCAACGACCUCGUCUUGCAUAGGAGCAUGCCAAACCUCAUCCUUUACUGCUUCCGUAUAGCUCUUGGGCUCAACACCUGCAGUCACUGCUGCCAAGAAUGCUUGGUGCGAUGGUGAGAACAAGAGAUCAGAGACAUAAGCAUCCAAGGGAUACGGUGUCUUACCUUGGAAAGUUUCUGAAGACGCCGGAGUGGAGCAGAGUGAGGAGAGAUGGGGGUUAAGGGCGGCGGCAUUAUACGUAACAAAGCCUUUGAGACGCGUAGAAGGAAUGCGCUCUCGAUGUCCACGACCUAAUACUUCAACCUCAGUAACUGAAUCAUGGUCAACUUGUCCUGAGGAAGUUUGGGACAGCUCCAAAACAGGGGACUCUGUUGCAACAUGGGGUAUAUCUUCAGUAUUGGGAGAUGGAGUCUCAACUAGAGAUUCCGUCGGAACAGGCAGUGAGUCAGGUGCAGUAGAGGAAAGAGGGGCAGCGGAAUCUGGUGUUGGUGAAUUCGAAGCUUCCUCCACAGCAGCUGACUCAGAACUCCCCCUGACUUCGGAAACCGGAGGCGAUGGAAUUGCCCAAUCGUCAUCACAAAACGACGAAGACGAGAGAUGCUGAGGUGCGACUACGGGUGAGACGGGAGGCAAAGACGAAAAAGGAAAUUCAUCUUCAUAGAACACAACAUCGCGAGAGAUGAUGAACUCCUUCUUGUCUAAAUCAUACACUUUCCAUCCCUUUUGUCCAAAAGGAUACCCAACAAAACGCAACGACGACUGCGGGAGCCAAACUUGUCUUUAUCCCUUGACCGUAAGUGUGUGUAACACAAACUUCCAAAUACACGGAGAUUGUCAUACGAUGGUGUUUGUCCGUAUAAAAUCUCAUAAGGUGUUUUGCCCUUAAGAAUGGCUGUUGGGGUUCGAUUAAUGAGAUGAGUUGCAGUCAUGACAGCUUCUCCCCAAAACUUGAUCGGUAAGCUACGUUGGAAAAGUAACGCGCGAGAUACGUUAAGAAUGUGUCGAUGUUUGCGUUCAACUCUUCCAUUCUAUUGAGGCGUGGCAACGCACGAGGUUUGAUGAAGAAUUCCUUGUUCACGAAAGAACCGAGAUAGACACAUAAACUCUGUGCCAUUGUCACUAUGAACUACCUUCACCGUUUUAUGAAAUUGCCUUUCUGACAUCGCACAAAAGUUCUGAAGCACCAUAUGCACUUCUGUCUUUUCGAGAAGCAAAUAAGUCCAAACUGCUCUUGAAAAAUCGUCAACAAUAGUUAAAAAAUAAACUGCUCCACUGGAGGAUCUGGUUCGGUAAGGACCCCAAACAUCACAAUAAAUUAACUGAAAACAUUCAUUUGAUUUAUUUGAACUUGCAACAAAAACUUCUCUAGUCUGCUUUGCCCGGAAACAUGUGUCACAAGGACUAGGGGGCAGCAGAUUUAUUCAACGAAAACAUAGGUAAUGACGCUAAAGCAGAAAACGACGGAUGCCCGAGCCUCUGGUGCCAACAAUUCUGAUCAGCCAAGCUAACAACCG